rnacentral:rRNA from 1 species
AUUGAACGCUGGCGGCAGGCUUAACACAUGCAAGUCGAGCGGGGGAGGUUGCUUCGGUAACUGACCUAGCGGCGGACGGGUGAGUAAUGCUUAGGAAUCUGCCUAUUAGUGGGGGACAACAUCUCGAAAGGGAUGCUAAUACCGCAUGCGUCCUACGGGAGAAAGCAGGGGACCGUCGGGCCUUGCGCUAAUAGAUGAGCCUAAGUCGGAUUAGCUAGUGGGUGGGGUAAAGGCCUACCAAGGGGACGAUCCGUAGCGGGUUUGAGAGGAUGAUCCGCCACACUGGGACGGAGACACGGCCCAGACUCCUACGGGAGGCAGCAGUGGGGAAUAUUGGACAAUGGGGGGAACCCUGAUCCAGCCAUGCCGCGUGUGUGAAGAAGGCCUUUUGGUUGUAAAGCACUUUAAGCGAGGAGGAGGCUACUGGUAUUAAUACUACCGGAUAGUGGACGUUACUCGCAGAAUAAGCACCGGCUAACUCUGUGCCAGCAGCCGCCGUAAUAC